UACGGAGGGUGCGAGCGUUGUCCGGAAUCACUGGGCGUAAAGGGCGCGUAGGCGGCGCGGGAAGUCCGUGGUGAAAACCCGAGGCUCAACCUCGGGCCUGCAGUGGGUACGGGCAAACUAGAGUGCGGUAGGGGAGAAUGGAAUUCCUGGUGUAGCGGUGGAAUGCGCAGAUAUCAGGAGGAACACCGAUGGCGAAGGCAGUUCUCUGGGCCGUAACUGACGCUGAGGAGCGAAAGCGUGGGGAGCGAACAGG
rnacentral:rRNA from 1 species